rnacentral:rRNA from 1 species
UACGUAGGGUGCGAGCGUUAAUCGGAAUUACUGGGCGUAAAGCGUGCGCAGGCGGUUUUGCAAGCCAGAUGUGAAAGCCCCGGGCUUAACCUGGGAAUGGCAUUUGGGACUGCAAGGCUGGAGUGUGGCAGAGGAGACUGGAAUUCCUGGUGUAGCAGUGAAAUGCGUAGAGAUCGGGAGGAACACCGGUGGCGAGGGCGGGUCUCUGGGCAUUUCCUGACGCUGAGGCGCGAAAGCGUGGGGAGCAAACGGG